GAUGGCGCACACCUGUAGUCCUAGCUGCUCAGGAGGCUGAGGUGGGAGGAUUGCUUGAGCCCAGGAGGCGGAAGUUGCAGAGAGCAGAGAUCACACCAUGGCACUCCAGCCUGGGUGACAGAGCGAGACCCUGUCUCAAAAAAAGAAAAAAAUUCUCCUUGUUCCAGCUGGAGACCCAAAGGCCCAGAGAAGGGAAGCAAUGUGCCUAAGAUCAAGCAAUGAGUGAGUUUCCAUGCAGAGGCCAGAACUCAGCUCAGCCUUUACCCAUGCCUCCCCAAGCCCUUGCACAAAGCAGGGUGGGUUCUCCACAAAGAGUAUCCCCAAAUGAUGCUCAAGACCUUGAUGAUGAUGAGGGUGACAGUGUUCGCUACUGGUAUUAAAUGCUUACCCUAUGCUCGGCAGUGUUCUAAGUUCUUUGCCUGGAUCCACUCACUUUAAUCCACACAUAUCCCAAUGAAGGAGGUAAAAUUACUAUUCCCAUUCUAUAGAUAAAGAAACUGAGGCACAGAGAGUUUAAGCAUCUCACCUAAAAUCACACAGCGAAGAAGAAGCAGAGCUGAG
rnacentral:lncRNA from 1 species